rnacentral:misc_RNA from 1 species
CAGAAAAAUCUGGUCUUCAAAUGAAUGAUCAUGUGAUCGGGCAGAGACCAAUAGAAAAGGAUCUUCGGCUGUGGUCCAAUCACUGAACUCAUAACGAUACAUACUGAGUAGGAUAUCGACGACCUAAGCUCUUGACCAAUCACUCGUACUGUCCCGAUCGGGAGGUAAUCGGCUUCUUGGAAGAACACAUCGUUGUUAUAUGAUUUUGACGAAAUAAAAUUGCCACAGGGCAACAAAACAUGAUUGCAAAUCGAUGAGGAAGCACUGAGAAUAGGCAGAUAACUAAGCUAUGGAAGGGUGCUCUAACACAAUUACGGAGAAGUAAGAACCAAAGUACUUCACAGUCUUUGGAUUUCUGUUGAACAUUCUACUGAUACCAAGAUUCGUUAUAACAGCAGUAUCUCAAACAGAACUUUUCAAUACGGACAAUUUUGUAUGUACCCCAAACGUCACUCUUGAUUUGGAUUCAGAAAGCAUAAAACAAAGAUGUCAUGACACAUUUGCUGCAACCUCGACAUGGCCGCCACAUGCCAAUUGGUACACACAAUUAGGGGCAACAAUUGGCCUUGUGACUUUCUUCUAUUUUCCAUCUUGGUGGACUGUAAACCAUACGAAACAGCUGUCGGAAGGAGAAACGAAAACCAUUGCUCGUGGAUAUCUCGCACAGACAGCCGCCAGGACAAUCAUAGAGUUCGGCUUCGGUGUCACACAGGUUGCCUUAUAUGGGUUCCAGAUCCCUAGUCAGUUCGUCUGUUCAGUGAACAAUGAAAGAAUACCAUGUGAUGUUCUCAAGGUCACCGGGAAAACUGCCAUCCUUGUUGCUAUGCUAAUUAUCUCCCUAGCCGUGGUGGUUUUGCAUGGGGUAGAGUCAAUUAAGGCAAUCAUAAUGUUUCGAAGAGGCAACAGUCAUAUACUCUUACCAAUUCUUGUGAAUCAUGGUUCAAUCUUACCUCGGGAAGUUGAUCAAGAUCCGAGGACUGCUGAUAGGGGACCAGUCCACCAGGAGAUAACUGAUACCAUAAGAAGUGUUCAACAAAAAAUUGGAUUAGUGUAUGCCACAAACUACUUCUAUGCAUACCUGAAGAUUGUCAUCCAACGAGGUUUAUGUCUAAGCUCAAAAUUGAAGGACACGAUUCAAGAAUAUAUUGAUAAAAAAGAUUUGAAACGAAGAAAAAUUAAAAUGGCUAAAAAGCUGUAUAUACUAGUUCCUGAUUCUGGAAAGUGUCCAAAAUUGAUGAGCGAAAAGGACCCCGAAAUGAGUGAAGCAUAUUUCUUCACGUUUAAAGCAAAUCGUGCAGGUUCGGCGAGGAUAUUCAGAAACACAGUGUGGAAAUUUAAGAUUGGAGACCAGGUUUAUCACGCCUUGGCUGAGUUUGCUACUAUCCUUCAUACGUUGUCAGAGUUGCCGGAAUUGACCAUGAACGACGAGGACAAGAAGAAUGAAACGAGAAAAUUUUACGAUGCUCUCAAACUUUAUAUUGAUAACACUUUCGGAGAGGAUGGUGAUGUUGUUGAACUAGUACAUAUCAACGAUUCAUCGCCAACGAUAUCUAAAGUCCUUAAAGAGAAAAUAGAUAAA